CACCUGGUGUUUUUUAACACCACCCAUCUCAUUGAGAACUUAUUUAU
rfam:Saprolegnia diclina VS20 unplaced genomic scaffold supercont1.101, whole genome shotgun sequence.